rnacentral:rRNA from 5 species
AAUCCAUAGGUUAAUGAGGCGAACCGGGGGAACUGAAACAUCUAAGUACCCCGAGGAAAAGAAAUCAACCGAGAUUCCCCCAGUAGCGGCGAGCGAACGGGGAGGAGCCCAGAGCCUGAAUCAGCAUGUGUGUUAGUGGAAGCGUCUGGAAAGGCGCGCGAUACAGGGUGACAGCCCCGUACACAAAAGCGCAUGUGCUGUGAGCUCGAUGAGUAGGGCGGGACACGUGGUAUCCUGUCUGAAUAUGGGGGGACCAUCCUCCAAGGCUAAAUACUCCUGACUGACCGAUAGUGAACCAGUACCGUGAGGGAAAGGCGAAAAGAACCCCGGCGAGGGGAGUGAAAAAGAACCUGAAACCGUGUACGUACAAGCAGUGGGAGCACCCUUUGGGUGUGACUGCGUACCUUUUGUAUAAUGGGUCAGCGACUUAUAUUCUGUAGCAAGGUUAACCGAAUAGGGGAGCCGGAGGGAAACCGAGUCUUAAC